rnacentral:rRNA from 1 species
CUUGUACACACCGCCCGUCACACCAUGGGAGUGGGUUUUACCAGAAGUAGUUAGCCUAACCGCAAGGAGGGCGACUACCACGGUGAGAUUCAUGACUGGGGUG